rnacentral:rRNA from 1 species
CCUACGGGUGUCAGCAGUAGGGAAUCUUGCACAAUGGGCGAAAGCCUGAUGGAGCAACGCCGCGUGCAGGAUGAAGGCCUUCGGGUUGUAAACUGCUUUUAUAAGCGAGAAAAAUGACGGUAACUUAUGAAUAAGGAUCGGCUAACUACGUGCCAGCAGCCGCGGUCAUACGUAGGAGGCGAGCAUUAUCCGGAGUGACUGGGUGUAAAGAGUUGGUGAGGUGGCAUAAUCAAUAGCUAAUGUAAUCUGGUGGUUCAACCAUUCAGACUACUAGCUAAACUGUUAAGCUCGAGACCGUUAGAGGUAAGUGGAAUUUCUAGUGUAGGAGUGAAAUCCGUAGAUAUUAGAAGGAACACCAAUAGCGAAGGCAGGUUACUGGGACGGUUCUGACGCUGAGGCACGAAAGCGUAGGGAGCAAACAGGAUUAGAUACCCGGGUAGUC